GACGAACGCUGGCGGCGUGCUUAACACAUGCAAGUCGAACGGAAAGGCCCUGCUUUUGUGGGGUGCUCGAGUGGCGAACGGGUGAGUAACACGUGAGUAACCUGCCCUUGACUUUGGGAUAACUUCAGGAAACUGGGGCUAAUACCGGAUAGGAGCUCCUGCUGCAUGGUGGGGGUUGGAAAGUUUCGGCGGUUGGGGAUGGACUCGCGGGUUAUCAGCUUGUUGGUGGGGUAGUGGCUUACCAAGGCUUUGACGGGUAGCCGGCCUGAGAGGGUGACCGGCCACAUUGGGACUGAGAUACGGCCCAGACUCCUACGGGAGGCAGCAGUGGGGAAUAUUGCACAAUGGGCGGAAGCCUGAUGCAGCAACGCCGCGUGCGGGAUGACGGCCUUCGGGUUGUAAACCGCUUUCGCCUGUGACGAGGCGUGAGUGACGGUAAUGGGUAAAGAAGCACCGGCUAACUACGUG
rnacentral:rRNA from 1 species